GCUCAAAAUCAGUACUGAGACUCUGUGAAAUGCAUUAACCCGUAUAAUAGGUCCAUAUUUCUUUGUCCACUCCAGAAAGAGAUCGUGUAGAAACUCCUGUUUCUUCAUCAUUCUCCAAAAGAUUGGCAGAUGUCCAAGUAAAAAGCUCUCGCGCGGGGCGCCGGGGAUGUGGUCAUACGCGGCAUGGACGCGCCGCACGUAGCAGCAGUACAGCCCCGCCACCAGCAGCAGCAGCAGUGCCAGCAGCAGCAGCAGCCCGCCCAACACCGCCAUGGCCGCUGCCCGCCCGCUCGGUGACCGGUUGUGGCGGGGGCGGCGCCGGCACGGCGCGGCCUCGGGCAGGGCGGAGGCUGCUGGCUGUUAACUGCUUCCACGCGGGGCGGCAGGAGGGGGGAGGUUCCGGCCUGAACUGCGACAGUCUGUCAGGAGUACGAGGGCUUUUCUGACCGCGAAUCCCCUGACUUCACCGUGUGGGUGUGCAGGGCUGCUCCAUGGCCGCAUCCCACGGCCGCCAGCGCUUUAAUGCUUCGUAUUCUGUAGGAAAGGCAGAGAAUCUUAGAAUUACAGAAUAUUUUAGAAUCGUGGAGUUGGAAGGGACCCACAAGGAUUUUGAGUCCGAGCCCUGGCUCCACACAGCACCACUCAAAUCCAAACCCUGGGUCUGAGAGUGCUGUCCAAACACCCCUUGAACUCCGACAGCUCAGGCCGUGCCCACUGCCCUGGGCAGGCUGUUCCAUGCCCACCACCCUGUGGGGCACAGCCUUUCCCUAACCCCCAGCUGCCCCUCCCCUGACAGCUCCAUGCUGUUCCCUUGGGCCUCACAGAGAGCAGAGCUCAGCGCUGCCCGGCCUUGGGCACCUCCAGGGAUGGGACACCCACAGCUCUCUGGGCAGCAGUGCCAGAGCCUCACAGCCCUCUCAGAGAAGAAAGUCCUCUGAACAUCUAACCUAAAUUCCCCGCCAUUCCUCCUUGUCCUAUCACAAUCCCACUGCGUAAAAAAAUCGGUCCCAUUCCUGUUUGUAAGCCUCCUUCAGGAACUGGAAGGCCACAGUGAGGUCUCCCCAGAGCAUUCUCUUCUCCAGAUGACAACCCUUGGGGCAACAACCCCGAAAUGAUUUCCCCCUAUUUGCC
rnacentral:lncRNA from 1 species